UGCGUAGGGUGCAAGCGUUGUCCGGAAUUAUUGGGCGUAAAGAGCUCGUAGGCGGUCUGUCGCGUCGGCUGUGAAAACCCGGAGCUCAACUCCGGGCCUGCAGUCGAUACGGGCAGACUGGAGUUCGGCAGGGGAGACUGGAAUUCCUGGCGUAGCGGUGAAAUGCGCAGAUAUCAGGAGGAACACCGGUGGCGAAGGCGGGUCUCUGGGCCGAUACUGACGCUGAGGAGCGAAAGCGUGGGGAGCGAACAGG
rnacentral:rRNA from 1 species